GGAAACGACUGCUAAUACCGCAUAAUGUUAGUUUAGGGGGGCAUCCCUUUAAUACCAAAGUAUUUAUUGCUAGAAAGAUGGCUUCGCGUCUGAUUAGCUAGAUGGCGGGGUAACGGCCCACCAUGGCGACGAUCAGUAGCCGGUCUGAGAGGAUGAACGGCCACAUUGGGACUGAGAUACGGCCCAGACUCCUACGGGAGGCAGCAGGUGGGGAAUAUUGGGCAACGGGGGAAACCCUGACCCAGCAACGCCGCGUGAAGGAAGAAGGCUUUCGGGUUGUAAACUUCUUUUAGCAGGGACGAAGGACGUGACGGUACCUGCAGAAAAGCAACGGCUAACUACGUG
rnacentral:rRNA from 1 species